rnacentral:tRNA from 1 species
CCUGCACUCUCGUCGGAAGAGCUGCUGAUUCGUAAUCAGCAGGUCGGAGGUUCAAGUCCUCUCUGCAGCACCA